rnacentral:rRNA from 1 species
GCCAAAAAUCUAGCUCUCCCCCCAAAAUAUGCACCCCCUCACCCCAACUUUCAUUAACCAAAACAUUUUUUUAAUUUAGUAAAGGAGAUUGAAAAACUUAUUGAAGCAAUAAACCUAGUACCGUAAGGGAAAGAUGAAAUAUUAAUGAAAAUAUUUAAGCAAAAAAAAGUAGAGCCUAAUCCUCGUACCUUUUGCAUCAUGGUUCAACUAGUCCAACCAAGCAAAAAGAAUUAUAGUUUGACCCCCCGAAACUAAGCGAGCUACUUCAGGGCAGCUUAACGAGCCAACCCGUCUCUGUUGCAAAAGAGUGGGAAGACCCUCAAGUAGAGGUGAUAUACCUACCGAGCUUAGUGAUAGCUGGUUACUCAGGAAAAGGAUCUUAGUCCAACCUAAAGUCUUAUUUUUAAACUAAAAAUCCUCAUUGACUUUAGAGCAAUUCAAAUAAGGUACAGCCUAUUUGAAAUAGGAUACAACCUCGUCUGAUGGGUAAAAUUCUUCCUCAACCUCAAAGUGGGCCUAAGAGCAGCCACCUUUUAAAAAGCGUCACAGCUUAGUUUCCCAAAUUUCCUAAUCCCCCCUAUUUACCUCAACCCUCAAAUAAUACUGAGUGAUUCUAUAUUCUAUAGAAAACUUUAUGUUGAAACUAGUAACAAGAAGAAAACUCCUUCUCUCAAAUGCAAUUAUAAUUCAGAAAGGACCGACCACUGAUAAUUAACGCCUAUGAACACAUGUUAGCAACCCGUCAAGAGAAACCUAACUUUAAUCACGUUAACCUGACACAAGAGCAUUUCAAGAAAGAUUAAAAGAAAGAGAAGGAACUCGGCAAAUAUUAACCCCGCCUGUUUACCAAAAACAUCGCCUCUUGAUUAAAAAUAAGAGGUCCAGCCUGCCCAGUGACAAAUGUUCAACGGCCGCGGUAUCCUAACCGUGCGAAGGUAGCGUAAUCACUUGUUCUUUAAAUGGGGACUAGUAUGAAUGGCAUCACGAGGGUUACACUGUCUCCUCUCUCUAAUCAGUGAAACUAAUCUCCCCGUGAAGAAGCGGGAAUAAAUAUAUAAGACGAGAAGACCCUAUGGAGCUUUAAAUUUUUAUCCAGGCACUAAACUACCACCUCAAGUCACUGACCCCCCAUCACAAUUACCACGGCGCCAUGGAGAUGAAUUUUAGGUUGGGGUGACCACGGAGUACAAAAAAACCUCCACGCUGAACAGGCCUCUUAAGUCUUGAGCAAAGGGCCACAACCCAAAGCACUAAAAAACUAACACCCAUUGACCCAAUUUUAUUUGAUCAACGAACCAAGUUACCCUAGGGAUAACAGCGCAAUCUACUUCAAGAGUUCUUAUCGACAAGUGGGUUUACGACCUCGAUGUUGGAUCAGGGUAUCCCAGUGGUGCAGCCGCUACUAAUGGUUCGUUUGUUCAACGAUUAAAACCCU